GACAGAGGGUGCAAACGUUGUUCGGAAUUACUGGGCGUAAAGCGAGUGUAGGCGGUCUCGUAAGUCGGGUGUGAAAGCCCCGGGCUCAACCCGGGAACUGCAUUCGAGACUGCAUUGCUAGAGUAUGGGAGAGGGAAGUGGAAUUUCCGGUGUAGCGGUGAAAUGCGUAGAUAUCGGAAGGAACAUCAGUGGCGAAAGCGACUUCCUGGACCAGUAUUGACGCUGAGGCGCGAAAGCCAGGGGAGCAAACGGG
rnacentral:rRNA from 1 species